GAUGAAGAACGUAGUGAAAUGCGAUAAGUAAUGUGAAUUGCAGAACUCAGUGAAUCAUCGAAUCUUUGAACGCACAUUGCGCCUUCUGGUAUUCCGGAAGGCAUGCCUGUUCGAGAGUCAUUAACAACCGUUUCGAUCCCUUUCUUUCAGAAAUUACAAAGAGGAAAAGGGUUUGGUUAUGGUGGAGGAGGGAAAGGGAGCGUUUAGCCUGUAAAAAAAGAGGCUGUGUUCCGCCUCCCCCCCAAAAUUGUACAGGCGGUCGUGUGCGCCCACGCAUCGAGGUGUUGUAAAAGCUGCCACGGCACUUUUCACCUGUGCAGUGCGAGAUUGGCCAGCCGGUUUAAAAACCCCUCCAAACAAUCAAAGGUUGACCUCGGAUCAGGUAGGGAUACCCGCUGAACUUAAGCAUAUCAAUAAGCGGAGGA
rnacentral:misc_RNA from 1 species